rnacentral:rRNA from 1 species
UGGGGAAUAUUGGACAAUGGGGGCAACCCUGAUCCAGCAAUGCCGCGUGUGUGAAGAAGGCCUGAGGGUUGUAAAGCACUUUCGGAGGGGAGGAAGGCAUUCUGUCGAAUAGGCGGAAUGAUUGACGUUACCUUCAGAAGAAGCACCGGCUAACUCUGUGCCAGCAGCCGCGGUAAUACAGAGGGUGCAAGCGUUAAUCGGAAUUACUGGGCGUAAAGGGUGCGUAGGUGGAUAAAUAAGUUGGACGUGAAAGCCCCGGGCUUAACCUGGGAUGGUCGUCCAAUACUGUUUGUCUAGAGUAUGGUAGAGGGUAGUAGAAUUUCCGGUGUAGCGGUGAAAUGCGUAGAUAUCGGAAGGAAUAUCAAUGGCGAAGGCAGCUACCUGGGCCAAUACUGACACU